rnacentral:misc_RNA from 1 species
GUGAAUCAUCGAAUUUUUGAACGCAAAUUGCACUCUCUGCUGAGAGUAUGCCCGUUUGAGGGUCAGUAUUAAUAAAACUCGGAGCGUAGCUACUUUGUGAUGCUCCGGAGUGUGGAGCAUCUUAAUAGCCUUUAGGUUUUAAGAGGCUUAAAAUUGACUUUUUUUGCGCAUUUUAGUUGGACAGAAAUUCUUUUUUUUAUUCUUCUGUCUUAAUUCUCAAAAUCCUAUUAGAUGCGACCAUAUCGUGUGGUCUCGUGUUUAUAAAU